GACGAACGCUGGCGGCGUGCCUAAUACAUGCAAGUCGAGCGAGCGGAACCAACAGAUUUACUUCGGUAAUGACGUUGGGAAAGCGAGCGGCGGAUGGGUGAGUAACACGUGGGGAACCUGCCCCUAAGUCUGGGAUACCAUUUGGAAACGACUGCUAAUACCGCAUAAGCCCACAGCUCGGCAUCGAGCAGAGGGAAAGGAGUGAUCCGCUUUGAGAUGGCCUCGCGUCCGAUUAGCUGGUUGGUGAGGUAACGGCCCACCAAGGCGACGAUCGGUAGCCGGACUGAGAGGUUGAACGGCCACAUUGGGACUGAGACACGGCCCAG
rnacentral:rRNA from 1 species